rnacentral:rRNA from 1 species
GACGAACGCUGGCGGCGUGCCUAAUACAUGCAAGUCGAGCGAGCGGAACUAACAGAUUUACUUCGGUAAUGACGGUAGGAAAGCGAGCGGCGGAUGGGUGAGUAACACGUGGGGAACCUGCCCCAUAGUCUGGGAUACCACUUGGAAACAGGUGCUAAUACCGGAUAAGAAAGCAGAUCGCAUGAUCAGCUUUUAAAAGGCGGCGUAAGCUGUCGCUAUGGGAUGGCCCCGCGGUGCAUUAGCUAGUUGGUAAGGUAAAGGCUUACCAAGGCGAUGAUGCAUAGCCGAGUUGAGAGACUGAUCGGCCACAUUGGGACUGAGACACGGCCCAAACUCCUACGGGAGGCAGCAGUAGGGAAUCUUCCACAAUGGACGCAAGUCUGAUGGAGCAACGCCGCGUGAGUGAAGAAGGUUUUCGGAUCGUAAAGCUCUGUUGUUGGUGAAGAAGGAUAGAGGUAGUAACUGGCCUUUAUUUGACGGUAAUCAACCAGAAAGUCACGGCUAACUACGUG